rnacentral:rRNA from 1 species
CCUACGGGAGGCAGCAGUGGGGAAUUUUGGACAAUGGGGGAAACCCUGAUCCAGCAAUGCCGCGUGUGUGAAGAAGGCCUUCGGGUUGUAAAGCACUUUUGUCCGGAAAGAAAACUUCUGCCCUAAUACGGUGGGAGGAUGACGGUACCGGAAGAAUAAGCACCGGCUAACUACGUGCCAGCAGCCGCGGUAAUACGUAGGGUGCGAGCGUUAAUCGGAAUUACUGGGCGUAAAGCGUGCGCAGGCGGUUCGUUAAGACAGAUGUGAAAUCCCCGGGCUUAACCUGGGAACUGCAUUUGUGACUGGCGAGCUAGAGUAUGGCAGAGGGGGGUAGAAUUCCACGUGCAGCAGUGAAAUGCGUAGAGAUGUGGAGGAAUACCGAUGGCGAAGGCAGCCCCCUGGGCCAAUACUGACGCUCAUGCACGAAAGCGUGGGGAGCAAACAGGAUUAGAUACCCUGGUAGUCCACGCCCUAAACGAUGUCAACUAGUUGUUGGGUCUUCAUUGACUUAGUAACGUAGCUAACGCGUGAAGUUGACCGCCUGGGGAUACGGUCGCAAGAUUAAAACUGAAAGUUAUUGACGGNUUGAGAGNGCGAGACGACGACGAGGAGAG